CCCAACACAGCAGCUGACUUCAUCAGCGCAAGCAAGCAAGAAGAGCCGGAGAGAAAGUGAGCAAGGUAAACGAGCCGGCUUCAAACCACAGAGCUGGGGCAGUACAUACAUGCUUUUUAGGGGACCACCAGGAAAUGGAAGUACCUUAUUUAGCCAACACCCCACAGAAACCAAGGUGAAUAAUCACAUGGCACAGGGAGCAAGACCUGGAUUUGCUGAAGACCUUUCCUUUACGUGGCGCCACAGCACAGCGGCUCAGAACCACCGACGGAUGCUGGGGCCACAUGGCAGCCUUGAAAUCACUGCUGGACGCUACUUACAGGAUGUGUGAUAUUGGGCAGCAACUCGAGUCCCCUAAUCUUCACAGCAGCCCUGUGUGAAUUUGGAGACCCCACCAGUAUGGCUCAACUCAUGAGAACCUACCAGAGUGAAGCAAAAACAGUCUUGAAUCAAGUAUUACCACACCAAGAUUGGCACUGAAAACUUGCAGAGGAAGUUCGGAGCCAGAAUAUUGGAUGUCCCCAUGGUUUGGGCAAUUACAGUAAAUGUUUCCCAUCCCUGCUGCUCCUAUAAGUGCUUGGAAAAGGUAUCUUGGGCCUAUAGAAAAGGUGAGUGGGGCUUAACACCAUAGGCUUUUGGUCACUGUAUUAAACUGUGUUACUAAGGGAUAACCAAAGACCCUAGCAAAGAUGGGGGGAAAAUAACUCAUUUAUUUCUUUCGGUUUCAGGAAGUUACUCUAUGUUGUGUGGGCAAAGACUUUGUGUCUUAUUUUCAUUUUUCUUUUAGCUAAAGUUGUAUAAUUUGCCCAGCAACUUUUCGCACAUUGGUCUCUGUCUCUAAGUGGUCUUUUAAAAUUCUUUGUGUGGUAUGACCAGAGAGAUUUUAGAUAUAGAGUGGUCUGUUUGCUUAAAAUGUUUUUGAAAAAUUAAAGUUAAUUGACUGUGGGACUUGGUCAUUUGUAUGCAUCAUGAGAACAUCCAGUUCCAACAGAGAGAGCCAUCUUGAGAUGAAAAAAGAACAGAAAAAUCUGUUCAGUGGAUAUCAUGAAAAUAUGAUACCCUAUUCUGUGAUGUUAAAGAAAAUCACAGGGUUUUUGUGUGUGUACAUGUGUGUGUGUGUGUGUGUGUGUGUGUGUGUGUGCGUGUGCGUGCAUGCACUGAGCAUAACGACUGAAGAGGUUGACUGGAAUAGGGUAAGAAAUGGAGCUACCUCUGGAGAUACAAAUAAUAUUAUCUAAUGCAAACUAUUUACUUACUGUUGCAAGUUGGGUUUUCCUGGAAGCAGACCUGGAGACAGUUUAGCAGGCAGGAUGGUUAUGAAGGGAUCAUCACCUGUGGAUGGUGGGGUAUCAAGCAGGUAUGGGUAGAAGAAGUCCAAACUGUAAUGCAGGCCCUACAAAUACUUUGGGCAACCCUAAAGGGUACUCAGAAGUUAGAAUAGGCCUUUAGUGUUGUCCUGUUAGUUCAAGAUUGAUUGAACAUUUAUAUCUCACAUGGAUGUGGUUCCCUGCAGCUGAGAUAUCACCUGACAGCAGCAAGAUUCCUGCUUAUAUCACUCCCAGCAGCUGGGGCAAGUCCUUCAAUGAGAGGGGAUCUGGGUGGAUCAUCAAGGGAUCCACCUCCUUGGUUAUGUAAGUUUGUGAAACUAAAUUGCUUAAUCUGGAGGGAAAUGAACAAGAUAGUUAAAUUUAUCAAAUUUAAUGGAGCACAUAUUAAAUUAGCCUAGGGACUUAUAUUUAAAUAUGCACAUUUAGAAUGAAGAGUCUCAAUAACUCAU
rnacentral:lncRNA from 1 species